CCUACGGGAGGCAGCAGUGGGGAAUAUUGCACAAUGGGGGAAACCCUGAUGCAGCGACGCCGCGUGAGGGAAGAAGUAUUUCGGUAUGUAAAGCUCUAUCAGCAGGGAAGAAAAUGACGGUACCUGCUUAAGAAGCCCCGGCUAACUACGUGCCAGCAGCCGCGGUAGUACGUAGGGGGCAAGCGUUAUCCGGAUUUACUGGGUGUAAAGGGAGGGUAGACGGCAGCGCAAGUAGGAAGGGAAAUGCCGGGGCUUAACCCCGGAACUGCUUUGGAAACUGUGCAGGUAGAGUGCAGGAGAGGUAAGUGGAAUUACUAGUGUAGCGGUGAAAUGCGUAGAUAUUAGGAGGAACACCAGUGGCGAAGGCGGCUUACUGGACUGUAACUGACGUUGAGGCGCGAAAGCGUGGGGAGCAAACAGGAUUAGAUACCCCAGUAGUC
rnacentral:rRNA from 1 species